CAUGGUGGCUAUGGCGGUGGUGCCCCACCUCUUCCCAUCCCGAACAGAGAAGUUAAGCCCACCCGCGCCGAUGGUACUGCGCCGCAAUGCGGGAGAGUAGGUAGCCGCCCCCU
rnacentral:rRNA from 1 species